UACGUAGGGGGCAAGCGUUGUCCGGAAUUAUUGGGCGUAAAGCGCGCGCAGGCGGCCUUGUAAGUCUGUUGUUUAAACUCGGGGCUCAACCCCGAGUCGCAAUGGGAACUGCAAAGCUUGAGUACAGAAGAGGAAAGUGGAAUUCCACGUGUAGCGGUGAAAUGCGUAGAGAUGUGGAGGAACACCAGUGGCGAAGGCGACUUUCUGGGCUGUAACUGACGCUGAGGCGCGAAAGCCAGGGGAGCAAACGGG
rnacentral:rRNA from 1 species